CCGUUUUUCCCUUUCUAUUCUCAGCCCCGACUUGCACGCCCACCCCCGUCCUCCUUCCCUUCCACUGAGGCCGCAGCCGCCGCCUCCCCUCCGCAGCCCUCCUUUGCCACGCCUCAGCCAGCCUCGCCCGCGAACCUUCUCCGGGCGUCCUCAGCCCGCCUCGCCCGCGUGCGCUCGCCACCCCCACGCCGUCCACCGUCGCGCCCGUGCGAGCCCGAGCCAUCUCCAUGCCGCGACCCCGUCGUCCGCCGUCCUCCCUUGCGCCAUCGCAAGCCCCCGCUGUCCACCGUCGCGACCGGGACCCUGACGUCUCGCCAUCCCUGUGAUCUCCCCUCCUCCCCAUCGAGGCGCCGCCACCGAUUCGUCCAGGCCCGACGCCUAGUCCUCUCGCCCCACCGCCACCGCCGCCCCCUUUCUCCGUCGUGCCCGUCCCUUUUGAUACCUGGGGACCAAUCAAAUUGGGUUGAAGCUUAGCUAGGCCUGCACAGGAAUACUACACACGAACACAUAUGUUUUCGAAAUAUAAUCAGGAAGCAGCAGGUAGAUUUGUUAUUGCAAUGAGUUUUUCUUGGGUUGAUUUCUGGAGUACCAGAGAAGUUACAAGGACAAUGCUUUUCCUUAAUUUAACAAUAUCCACUCAAGAUUUACUAUUACUAAUCCAUGAUUGCUUUGAAAUCUUUCCUUCAAUGGUUAACAAGUGCUUGUCAUAGUUCAGACUUAGAGUGAACAAAUGUAAAUCUGAGGUGAAAAAUAGGUGAUUCUCAUUUUCUGAUGGCACCAUCUUACCAGUACCAGUGAAAAUACUUGUACAUAUUGGUACAUUUUGGGAUUCUGGAGCUUCAGGAGCAAUGCUAAGUUUAUGUGAAGAAACAUCUAGAUUUUUGGGAGAAAAGUGUAUGAAGAAUGACUUGUUUCUAAAGAACCGACAGCGUUCGAGUGAGCUGGUCAUCCCUAGCUGGUUGGCCUAACCAUAUAGCAAUAGGUUUGUUAACUUUGUAAUGGUGUACCGGCACCAAUACCCUCUACUUUUAUUACCGAUGGGUUUGCUAGCUUUGCGGUCACCAAUUGCCCUCUACUUUUAUCUAGCUUUGCCAACAGGCAACAAUUUUUAUGCAGCUUCAAAUAUUUGUCUCCCUUAGCUGCAUUGGAAACACAAGGGCACUAUAACAAAAGAGGUAAUCUUUUUCUUCCUAAUCACAAAUUUUUAUGCAGCUUCAAAUUAUUGUCUCUUCUAUGUUGUUACUCAAGGCAUAUUGUGUGGUGGAUAAUCUCAUGACCCAGAGAGUUAAACAGGCAAGCAUUAUGACCACCAAAAAUUUAUCUUUGUUAGAAUUGUUUCCAAUCCUUUAUUGAUGUUGUUAAUUUAACUCUCAUUUUUGUGGGGCUUUUAAUUUAACUCUCUUUUUUUGUGGGGCUUUUAAUUUAACUCUCUCUUUUUUGUGGGGCUUUUAAUUUAACUCUCUUUGUCUGUUUUUAUUAUUGACAUGUGCCCUCAAUUUCUGCAUGUUGCAAUUAGACUAUUUGCGUGCAGUGGGCAAGUUUAUCUCUGCACUUGUGCAACUCUAGCUGACACAGUGCCAUGCUCUCUCAAGGGUAGAAAACAGACCAUGCAGAAUUCCUCUCCCAGUGCUGGAAAAAGGCAGCAAAGUGAUCCAUAUUAUUUACUGGAAUCCGGGGACAAGACACGGUAAAAUGAUAGAGUUCCCUUUAAGUUUCUGCGUGUCUUCAGAUUUUGAAUUCGAAAAAGAAAAUGGUGUUUCAUCUUUAAAGCUUAUUUUUCAUGUACCUCCAACUAUCAAGUUUGUAUUAGACGGAGAAAUGACACCUUAUUUACUUGUGAUGGAUCUGAUUUUACAAGCCAGAAAAUAAUCUUGGUUAUGCUAAAAUUUCUCAUCUCCUCGGUAUUUACUCAUUGUAACUGGGGAUGUCUCAUCCUAGGUGAUAUCUCUUUACAGGUUAUUGGCAAAAAAUCUGCAGCGGUGCAACAUACAAAUCAAUGGAGUUAGUUGUAUGUUUCAUCUUCAUAAUAACUGUAUUAAGCAAUUGUCAUAUCAUGUAUGAUGAUCAAAUCAAACAUAUAGAUCCUUUAGUGACUUCAAAUUUGAACACCACCAAAGCUACUACUCUCCUGCAAUUGACUUCUAAUUAUUUUUUCUAUGUAGCUUGCCUUAGAGUUUAGAUAAAGUCGAUAGCAUGUAUGGAGCACAACAAUCUCUAAUUAUCUCGUACAGAAGCUUAUGACCAACUCUUUUGCUAACUAUCUCGUAUAGAAGCUGCUGGAUGUUUGUGAUGAGGAGCAGAGGCUGGGUAUCAUCGCUAUACUGACUGAGGACCCUGUGAAGCUGGUGAAAAUCUCCCUAAAAACCCAUGGGUAAUGAUCUUCUCUUCAAAACUGAUCAAUUAAGUGCAUUAUGUUCCUGACAGUAGAAGUAACUGGACUUGUAACCAAUAUAUUGAUUUGAGAAUAUUGUGAUUUAGUUUGGACAAGUAUACUGGCAGCAGAACAAGUUUUCUAUGAUGCUUGCAUCUUGUCAAUGACCUUAAUGUGAAUCAUGUCAUACAGUAAUGCUUGACAAACUUUGGUGCACAGGAGAACAAGGUAAAUAUAAGUGCUUAGUUUACAGUCUGGUUUUUAUUAUGUAGUGUAGUAUCACCUUGAUUAGCUAUUUAUUGUUAGAUUGUUACCUUUGACCAAUUAUUAGUUUUCAUAUUUUCUCACAAAUGCAACUCCAUCUAGUAUCGGAUCAAAGGAAUUUACUUGCUAUGUUGUGUGGACAAUGCCACAUUCUGCAGAAUCUAGGGUGCUGCAAAAUGGAUGUCCUCCUUUUGCAUUAAAAACACCUCACCUGCAGCCCUUACUUUUUUUCCACAUAUAAGCUUUCACUGAAAUACGAUAGCUUCAAAGUAUCUUUUUUUGAAGCCGCUUUUUUGCAUCUGAAGUUACUAUUCAGUUUUGCAUACCGCGCUCACUUCCCUCUUGAUAUUUCGUACGUGCGAUCAUGAAGCAUACCAGUCAGCUAAUUGCUACAGCCUGAAACAUUCAUGAUCAAUUUCAGUUCCCAAUUUUACUCGCCAAUUUUUACCGCAGAAUUCUAAAAUCUCUUUAUCUAUGUAGGCACUACUUCUAGCAUGACAUGAUGAACAGGGCUUUUCUGAUGAUGGCUACAUAGUAGCUAAUUGCUACGGUGAAAGGCUACAUUAUCCAAUACCGACGGCGAGUAUUUUCUACAUGCUCAUUUGUACCAACUUUGCACAUCAUUUUUUUAUGACGCAGGUGUAGGACGGUUUCAAGCUCAGACAACGAUUUUUGGUACAUAUUUUGAAGUACAAAUUCAACGAAGUUGUAAACAAUAUCUAAUAUCAACAAGGUAUACCUUCUUUUUCGGGAGUCCAUCUGAAAGGAAUCUCAAAGAUAAGCGUGCUUGGCCAAGAGCAAUUUGAGGAUAGGUGACUAAUCAGAAAGUUUCUCCCAGGGCGUGCUUGGCCAAGGGCAAUUUGAGAAUGGGUGAUUGAUCGGAAAGUUUCUCCCAUGAGCGCAUGAGUGAGCACAAAGUGCGCUAGAAAGACAUGUGUUGGUAUGUGGGACCAAUCUAGAAGCUUAGAGAGCUGCCAGGAGUGACGAUGUGGCGUUACAUUGAAUACUUGUAUUUUAAGUAUUGCUUCCAAUUUAUGCCGAGUUUUAAUAUUUCUAUACCUAAUUAUAAUAUAUUUAUGUGCUCGCGGAUUUUA